ACGAUAUUUUGGCGCCAAUUUACAUGGCAUUUGGUACUAGAAGCUAAACUAAGUUAGCCAAAUCAGGCAGUUGCCAUGGACUGUGGCAUGAACAAUGAUCAAAACAACUAAAGGUUAGCACCAAGUUACCCUAGCUACUGACUCAUGCAGGAAUCUAUCGGAGGAGGAGAGGCAUCCUGUUGAACAAAAGUGGGACUGUUAAGUGUUUUGCUUUAAUGGAGUGCAAUGAACUCUUGCUUUGAACCUACUAAAGCCUGUUUUUACACUCCAAUGGAAGGAAGAGAGUUUUAUUUUCCAAAGUGUCUUAAAGGCCAAACAAUUUGAGCUCUUUAAAAUUCCAAUAUAUCCUUUUUGCAGCCUUUCCAUUUUUAAAAUGCAUUACUAAGUCAAAUCAAUGAAACUUGGAAGGAAUCACUGCGCUCUUUAAAACAAAGUAUAAAAGUACAAAUUCUGUGCUUCCAUAAACAUGAGAUGGUCACUCUGUCAAAGUAAGU